UGGCGAGUAGCUCAGUUGGUAGAGCGCCUAAACGUCUUUGUUCAAAACUUGCCUGAAAAGGACGAUGAAUAAAGGUUAUCGCUUGUAAUGCGGGAUGUCGCAGGUUCGAGUCCUGCUUCGCCAC
rnacentral:tRNA from 1 species